CAAAAGAACAAAGAACAGAACCCUAGAGAAGUCAUCACUUAAGGAAAGCCCAAAGAGGAAUGGAUAAAAAAAAAAAAAUGAAAAGGAAUAUUCUUAGAUAUGGGAAGAGCAUUGAACUUUACAAAGUUCUUGGAGCUUGAGCUUACCUCUUUAGACUUUCACUUGUCUUUGUGUCCCGAGCUUGCAUCAGGCUGAACUACUUGCAGUUAAUGGCUCCUUGUAGUUAGAAAAACAUCCUUAAAGAAGUAAUGUGCCCACUUGGGGAACUGGAGCACAAGUAUCUCAUAUAUGCAACCCUCUUUCUUUUAUCCACCAACUAAAUGGAGAAGAUUGGAAGACCUGGGAGAGAAAAAAGCAACAGAUGGAAGAAUCCUGGGUGCCAUGAAUGACAGAGUGGAACACAUAUCCCACACACACUGAUUCAAAUUGGAAUAUGAUAUAAGCAAGGAAUAAAGGUGUAUGGUAUUGAGCCACUGGGAUUUGGGAACUUUUUAUUAGAGCAUAUAACCAACACUGACUAAUGCAGAAACUGGUACCUUGGUGUGAGUUGGUGCAGAAAUGCAAAUCCUAAAAUAUGUGACUUCGUGGUUGGGUGUCAGAUUGCACAAAAUCAAACUGAAGGCUGGGACCCUAUAAAGACCUGUUAUACAGUGGGAGUAAUUAUGGUAAACUAUUAUUUAUGAGCACUUUGAAAGAGACCAUAUGCCAACUGAGC